GAUGAACGCUAGCGGCAGGCCUAACACAUGCAAGUCGAGGGAGAGGUUACCUUCGGGUAACCAAAACCGGCGCACGGGUGCGUAACGCGUAUACAAUCUGCCUUUCACAUAGGGAUAGCCAGCAGAAAUUAGGAUUAAUACCUAAUGGUAUAUAAGAGCGGCAUCGUUUUUAUAUUAAAGCUACGGUGGUGAAAGAUGAGUAUGCGUUCUAUUAGCUAGUUGGAGAGGUAACGGCUCCCCAAGGCGACGAUAGAUAGGGGUUCUGAGAGGGAUGUCCCCCACACUGGUACUGGGAUACGGGCCAGUCUCCUACGGGACGCAGCAGUGCGGGAUAUUGCGCAAUGGUCGGAAGACUGAUCCAGCCAUGCCGCGUGCAGGAUGAAGGUCCUAUGGAUUGUAAACUGCUGUUGUAAGGGAAGAAUAAGGAGUACGUGUACUUGGAUGACGGUACCUUACGAAUAAGCAUCGGCUAACUCCGUG
rnacentral:rRNA from 1 species